rnacentral:rRNA from 1 species
GAUGAACGCUGGCGGCGUGCCUAAUACAUGCAAGUCGAGCGAACAGACGAGGAGCUUGCUCCUCUGACGUUAGCGGCGGACGGGUGAGUAACACGUGGAUAACCUACCUAUAAGACUGGGAUAACUUCGGGAAACCGGAGCUAAUACCGGAUAACAUGUUGAACCGCAUGGUUCAACAGUGAAAGACGGUUUUGCUGUCACUUAUAGAUGGAUCCGCGCCGCAUUAGCUAGUUGGUAAGGUAACGGCUUACCAAGGCAACGAUGCGUAGCCGACCUGAGAGGGUGAUCGGCCACACUGGAACUGAGACACGGUCCAGACUCCUACGGGAGGCAGCAGUAGGGAAUCUUCCGCAAUGGGCGAAAGCCUGACGGAGCAACGCCGCGUGAGUGAAGAAGGUCUUCGGAUCGUAAAACUCUGUUAUUAGGGAAGAACAAAUGUGUAAGUAACUAUGCACGUCUUGACGGUACCUAACCAGAAAGCCACGGCUAACUACGUG